UACGUAGGUGGCAAGCGUUGUCCGGAUUUACUGGGCGUAAAGAGCGCGCAGGCGGUCGUUCAAGUCGCGUGUGAAAGCCCCCGGCUCAACUGGGGAGGGUCACGCGAUACUGAUCGACUCGAAGGCAGGAGAGGGUAGUGGAAUUCCCGGUGUAGUGGUGAAAUGCGUAGAUAUCUGGAGGAAUACCGGUGGCGAAGGCGGCAUCCUGGACCGACAUUGACGCUGAACGGCGAAAGCUAGGGGAGCAAACGGG
rnacentral:rRNA from 1 species